rnacentral:rRNA from 1 species
UACAGAGGUCUCAAGCGUUGUUCGGAUUCAUUGGGCGUAAAGGGUGCGUAGGUGGCGCUGUAAGUCAGGUGUGAAAUUUCAGAGCUUAACUCCGAAACUGCAUUUGAUACUGCGGUGCUUGAGGACUGGAGAGGAGACUGGAAUUUACGGUGUAGCAGUGAAAUGCGUAGAUAUCGUAAGGAAGACCAGUGGCGAAGGCGAGUCUCUGGACAGUAACUGACGCUGAGGCACGAAGGCCAGGGGAGCAAACGGG